GUGUCAGCAGCCGCGGUAAUACGGAGGGUGCGAGCGUUGUCCGGAAUCACUGGGCGUAAAGGGCGCGUAGGCGGCGCGGGCAGUCAACGGUGAAAGCUCGGAGCUCAACUCCGAGUCGGCCGUCGAUACUCCCGUGCUUGAGCACUGUAGAGGCAGGUGGAAUUCCGGGUGUAGCGGUGGAAUGCGUAGAGAUCCGGAAGAACACCGGUGGCGAAGGCGGCCUGCUGGGCAGUAGCUGACGCUGAGGCGCGACAGCGUGGGGAGCAAACAGGAUUAGAUACCCUUGUAGUCC
rnacentral:rRNA from 1 species